rnacentral:lncRNA from 1 species
GGGAUGAAUGAAAUAAGCACGACACAGAGUUCAAGUCCCACAGGCUUUCUGCUGUGGGUGCCCCUCGAAGAGUGCAAAUGGGUGUUCCCCAAUCGACAGUGUUUAUUACUAAGGUGAAUCCCGACAGAAGCACACAUAAAGCAAGGUAUCUUGACAACCCAGAGCCACUCGGACUGUGUGGUCACCGCAGCAGAUCCUCAGGUAUGUCCUGAAGGGGGAGGGGACAGGCGAGCCCUGAGCGGGUCCAGGCAGAUUACCGUGUACUGUGUGCCCACUGUAAGAGAGAGAAAAUUCUUCAAAACACUCCAUAGCCCUCUGAACAAUAGCAAAACACAAAAAGUACACACGGAAUCAAAUUUAUGGAUACUAGUCUGCAACUUUUUUCCCCUUUCUUCCUUUGAGACAACAUCUAAAUUGCUCAAUCUGGCCUCCUCAAACUCAAGAUCCUCCUGCCUCAGCCCCACAAGGAGCGGGGUUCCAGGCGUGACCUACCAUGCCUGCCCUUUUUCUGUUUUGCUUUUCUCCCCUGAGAAGAGUAUCUUGGAGAUGUCUUAUGUUGGUAUGUGUAGAAUUUUGUCAGUAUUUUAAAAUUUGUAAUAAAAUACACAAAACAGUCUUUUUAUUUUCUUGGUGUUGGGGAUUGAAUCCAGGGUCUUGCACAUGCUCUCCCAGUGAGCUAGUUCCCCAGCUCAGUAUUUUAAAAACUGUGAUCGUGGCUUAUUAGUCAUAAAGUUAAUUCAGUGGGUCAAGAACAGCAUUUAAAAACAGUAACGUGGGCCAGGUAUUUAGCUCAGUGAUUCCGCAGCCUGCCUCGAAAGCACAAGGUUCUGAGUUCGAUCCCCUGGUACAAAAAAAAAAACAUUAACGCUGGGUGUAGUGGUGCAUGCCUGCAGUCCCAGCCCUGGGAAGACUGAGGCAGGAGAAAUACCACGAGUUUUAGGCCACCCUGGGCUGUCCCAGCACAGCCCCCAGACCCUGGACGGGGGGUUCCUCUCAUCCUCCCAUGCCUAUGGGGGUGUCUUGGCCACAGAGGCCCUGCAGCAGUACCUGAUGGUGGUGAUGGCCCUCAAGUACGAGGAGAAGCCGCCUCACGCCAUCCUGAGGAACGGUCUGGAAGCCCUGCUGCAGGAUCUGCAGGUGUCAGCCUAUGACCCCCUCAACCUACAGAUGGCACCCAGGCAGGACCCAGGUAAGGGAGUGUGCCAGCCUUAGCCCGUGCCCUUCCUGGGCCAUGUGUGACUGCUCGCAGAUGCAGCCACCAGUGCCGCAGCUCCCGGGGAACCCUGAGUCUCUGCAGCUCCUCCGGCACAGUCCGGUUCCGGGCAAGUAGCCUGUCCCUCGACUGAGCUCGGCUGUCCGAGAGCUGGAGCCUGGGUCUUUGUCACAGCAUUCUGAGGGGAGCUCGAGGCAGGGCUGCGUUCAGGGCCUUGCAAACAGCAUCAAGGCUUUUCCUUCUCUCUCUAUCCACUUUUGUCCCCUCUGGUAUUUGGCGACUCCCACUCCCCUGUCCCCGACUCACACAGACACUGUUGCCCCUGGGCCCCUUGGCCCUCUGUGCUCUCCUGAGUCAUGGGGUCUCUCUGCUCAGCACAGGUCAGCUGCACGGCUCCACCUGCCCCCUGUAGCUGAGGAAUCUGCAGCCAUAGACUGGACCAACCAUGGAUCCAGAAUAUUUUCAAACCUUGUGCCUGUACUGAAUAUUUGUAGACUUACUCUUACUGUUCCCGAAACGUUGGCACCCAGGGUCCUGGAACCCACCCAGGGGACCCUGAGGGCCGCCUAUCCCCUCCGGUGUGCUCCAAGGAGCCUGCACAGCCAGCUGCAUGGCAUUUGCUCAGUGCCCAGCGUUGGUUUACAAAUAGCACCGCUGCACAGCCGUGUGCACAGCUGGCUGCUGGGGUGCGUGUCCAUGCUUGGAGUCCCCUCUACCCACGCUCACGGGCUGCUCUGCAGCAGGGCUGUGCCAUCCAGACACCCACCAGCACCACCAGACUGGGCGGGAGUUUCGGGACAAAGAUCAGUUCCAUUCAAGUCACCAAAGAUGGGGCAGGGCAGCCGGCUGUGUCCCCGAGCAAGAGCUUCCCCAAGCCCCUCCUCUCCACCGAGCUUCAUUCCUGUCAUGGUGCUUGGUUCCAUUCAAAGCUCCAUGUCUGUCUAACUCAGGGCGCCAGGGGCAUCUGGCAGAGCCUGGGGACACUUUUGGCUGCACCAGCUUAGGAGAGCGUGCAACUGAGCACCCAGCCGCAGAGGCCAGGGCCGCUGAUCAGCAUGGAUACCACAUAGCACAGCCCUGCCGCUGUCACCAGCAGAGACCUACCUGCCAGGUGUCACCAGGGAGCUGUUGAGAUCGCCUGAUCUGGGACCUUCCUGAGCAGCACCACCCAGGUGGCCGUCUGUCUGCUUUGCUGUCAUCUUCCUGGCAGCAGCGUGGACCACGGGUGUUUCUCCUGAAAGAUAACACAGUGCACACAGCACCUGCACAGAGCCAGAAAUGCAGUACUAGGGCCGAGGGCUCCGCACUGACCACGGAUCCCCUCAAAAGUAAAAAGUAAAAAGUAGAGUUGGAGCCGGGCAUGGUGGCACAAGCCUGCAGUGCCAGCACUCGGGAGACAGAGGCAGGGGAAUUAAUUAUCUGGAGUUCCAGGCCAGCCUGGGCUACAUAGUGAGCUCAGGACCAGCCUGAACUAUGCAGUGAGACCUUGUCUAAAAAAA